rnacentral:rRNA from 1 species
GCGCGAACACUUUACAAUGCCGGCAACGGCGAUAAGGGGACCUCGAGUGCCAGGUUACACAUCUGGCUGUCGUGAUGCCUAAAAAGCAUUGCAUAGCAAGGGCCGGGCAAGACCGGUGCCAGCCGCCGCGGUAACACCGGCGGCUCGAGUGGUAACCGUUAUUAUUGGGUCUAAAGGGUCUGUAGCCGGCCGGAUAAGUCUCUUGGGAAAUCCAGCAGCUUAACUGUUGGGCUUUCAGGGGAUACUGUCUGGCUGGAGGCCGGGAGAGGUGAGAGGUACUUCAGGGGUAGGGGUGAAAUCUUGUAAUCCUUGAAGGACCACCAGUGGCGAAGGCGUCUCACCAGAACGGACCUGACGGCAAGGGACGAAAGCUAGGGGCACGAACC